rnacentral:rRNA from 1 species
AUAAUGCAAGUCGAGCGAGCAAUUUUGACGGAAUACUUCGGUAGGAAGUCAGAAGCGCGAGCGGCGGAUGGGUGAGUAACACGUGGGCAACCUGCCCUUUAGCUUGGGAUACCACUUGGAAACAGGUGCUAAUACCAAAUAAGCAGCAAGAGCGCAUGCUCAAGCUGAGAAAGGCGGCUUUCGAGCUGUCACUAAAGGAUGGGCCCGCGGUGCAUUAGCUAGUUGGUAAGGUAAGGGCCUACCAAGGCGAUGAUGCAUAGCCGAGUUGAGAGACUGACCGGCCACAUUGGGACUGAGACACGGCCCAAACUCCUACGGGAGGCAGCAGUAGGGAAUCUUCCACAAUGGACGCAAGUCUGAUGGAGCAACGCCGCGUGAGUGAAGAAGGUUUUCGGAUCGUAAAGCUCUGUUGUUGGUGAAGAAGGACAAGGAAAGUAACUGAUCUUUGUUUGACGGUAAUCAACCAGAAAGUCACGGCUAACUACGUGCCAGCAGCCGCGGUAAUACGUAGGUGGCAAGCGUUGUCCGGAUUUAUUGGGCGUAAAGCGAACGCAGGCGGGAAGAUAAGUCAGCUGUGAAAGCCCCCAGCUUAACUGGGGAACUGCAGCUGAAACUAUGUUUCUUGAGUGCAGAAGAGGAGAGUGGAACUCCAUGUGUAGCGGUGGAAUGCGUAGAUAUAUGGAAGAACACCAGUGGCGAAGGCGGCUCUCUGGUCUGUAACUGACGCUGAGAUUCGAAAGCAUGGGUAGCGAACAGGAUUAGAUACCCUGGUAGUCCAUGCCGUAAACGAUGAGUGCUAAGUGUUGGGAGGUUUCCGCCUCUCAGUGCUGCAGCUAACGCAUUAAGCACUCCGCCUGGGGAGUACGACCGCAAGGUUAAAACUCAAAGGAAUUGACGGGGGCCCGCACAAGCGGUGGAGCAUGUGGUUUAAUUCGAAGCAACGCGAAGAACCUU